rnacentral:rRNA from 1 species
CAGUCGCCACGGUAAUACGUAGGGUGCAAGCGUUAAUCGGAAUUACUGGGCGUAAAGCGUGCGCAGGCGGUUUGUUAAGACAGAUGUGAAAUCCCCGGGCUCAACCUGGGAACUGCAUUUGUGACUGGCAAGCUAGAGUCUGGCAGAGGGGGGUGGAAUUCCGCGUGUAGCAGUGAAAUGCGUAGAUAUGCGGAGGAACACCGAUGGCGAAGGCAGCCCCCCGGGCCAACACUGACGCUCAUGCACGAAAGCGUGGGGAGCAAACAGGAUUAGAUACCCGCGUAGUCCCUGUCUCUUAUAC